AUUGAACGCUGGCGGCAUGCCCUACACAUGCAAGUCGAACGGCAGCACGGGUGCUUGCACCUGGUGGCGAGUGGCGAACGGGUGAGUAAUACAUCGGAACAUGUCCUGUAGUGGGGGAUAGCCCGGCGAAAGCCGGAUUAAUACCGCAUACGAUCUACGGAUGAAAGCGGGGGACCUUCGGGCCUCGCGCUAUAGGGUUGGCCGAUGGCUGAUUAGCUAGUUGGUGGGGUAAAGGCCUACCAAGGCGACGAUCAGUAGCUGGUCUGAGAGGACGACCAGCCACACUGGGACGGAGACACGGCCCAGACUCCUACGGGAGGCAGCAGUGGGGGAUUUUGGACAAUGGGCGAAAGCCUGAGCCGGCAAUGCCGCGUGUGUGAAGAAGGCCUUCGGGUUGUAAAGCACUUUUGUCCGGAAAGAAAUCCUUGGCUCUAAUACAGUCGGGGGAUGACGGUACCGGAAGAAUAAGCACCGGCUAACUACGUGCCAGCCGCCGCAGUAA
rnacentral:rRNA from 1 species